rnacentral:rRNA from 1 species
GAUGAACGCUCGCGAUAGGCUUAGCACAUGCAAGUCGAGGGGCAGCAUGGUCUUAGCUUGCUAAGACUGAUGGCGACCGGCGCACGGGUGCGUAACGCGUAUGCAACUUGCCUCACAGAGGGGGAUAACCCGUCGAAAGACGGACUAAUACCGCGUACACUUGGGAUAGGGCAUCCUGACCCAAGGAAAUGAAAUUCGCUGUGAGAUAGGCAUGCGUCCCAUUAGCUAGUUGGUGAGGUAACGGCUCACCAAGGCGACGAUGGGUAGGGGAACUGAGAGGUUGAACCCCCACACUGGUACUGAGACACGGACCAGACUCCUACGGGAGGCAGCAGUGAGGAAUAUUGGUCAAUGGGCGAGAGCCUGAACCAGCCAAGUCGCGUGAAGGAUGACUGUCUUAUGGAUUGUAAACUUCUUUUAGACGGGAAUAACAAGAGCCACGUGUGGCUCCCUGCAUGUACCGUAUGAAUAAGCAUCGGCUAACUCCGUG